UUUGACAAUAUCUGUCCUUUUUCUUCAAAAACCAGGUUUAAAUUUCUUUUUAAUCAAAAUUUUUAUUAAAUUCUAUUUUCCGGUCUUAAACAUCGCAUAGUAUGCAUUCCCCAUGUUUCGCGGGAUUUUAUGAAUGAAUCCCUACUUGUAACCAACCCUGUACUUGUACUAAUACACAAUUCCGGUCACUUCCUAACAUAUGGCCAACUACGAGAAAAUGUCAUUCGCCACCAACCACGCCACCGACCACAAGCCAAAAAUUAUAUUUCCUCAUAAAUUCGCAAAUAAUUCUGCCGGCACCAUAAAACAGGGCAUAAAUAAUAUUCCGUCCCAUGCAACCAAUAAUUUGGCCCAAGAAAACAUUAAAAUAGGAGUCACAGGCAAUAAAACAUGGCCACAAAAACCAAAGAAAAAGUUUACACACAUACGUCCACACAUUCCACCCGUGCGUAUACAGCAAAAACCACCGCAUUUGGCAAAUUUUUGUCAAACGUAUGCGCACGGUGUGGGCUAAAUAUCCACAAUUAAUCAAUGAACAUAAACUCCCAGCAGCAGUUCCACACCAUGAUUACAUUCAUGAAGCCCAGGUUACGGCACCAAACACGAUCACAGACACAUAUACAAUGUGAUAUAUAUAUAUAUAUAUAUAGCCGGCCGAAUAUUUGUCAAUUCUUGCGAACUCUCGCUCUGUCUGGCGUAUAAAGAAAAACAUCGUUCAAAGAAAAACUGUCGCACCGAAUAUAUGUACAUUAAUGUGGGUCUACACUGCACGUUUCUUCCCAGUGAGUGUCGAUACGAUUCGAAUAAAGAUGACCAGGAGCCAAUUAAAUCUUUACACACCCAAUGACCGACAUCGCCAUAACCCAGCAAACCAUUUUGUAUAUGAUGCCAAUAAAUAUCAUCAUAAAAUUUUA